GGAGCCGAGGGACGGGCCCUCCCCGCCCUGUGGCGGCCCCGGAGGCGCGGCCCAGGGCCGGGCCGCUGCCCUGGUAUUCCCCAGAAGAUGGACGCUAUUUAAGGAGCAAUGAAAUUGUGAUGUUAACUUAACGGCUUCCUGUGGGUGUUUGUCAGGCAUCUUUAAUCUAAAGAAAGAACCACAGAGAAGAACUGCAUAUUUACUAGACUAUUAACACAAGAACAACACUUUAUAACUAGUUACUUCACCCUUGCCCUGAACUUCCUGCGCAGAGCUUACUGUGAUUGAUUUUACAGGAGUCCUGAGUUUGCUCCCAUCACCCCGACAGGCAGUCCUUUUCCACCUUUAUGAGAGAAAACAGCUUAUGAGAAACUGAGGCACAGAUUCUGGACCACAGGGGUCCAGAAUGGUCACACUGGAUUAUAUGAUAAGGUGGGGACAUGUGCUAGGCUGCAGCUGGGAGCAUGCCUUUGACUGCUGUGUACCUUUCCUGGGCAGCAUCCACUGCCAAGAUACCUCCUGUCCUGCGAUGCAGCAUCCUGGUGUCCCUACCGCUUCAGGACCCUCCAUGCCAGAUGGAGCCCUUGAGGCUGGCUGGCUGCACUAUGGGCAUCUCCGAGCAAGAUGUGGCUCUGUGCUGCAAGGACGUGAGAGGCUGUGCUCUCAGCAAAGAGUAGGUCCUGUGCUUGGUACCUGACUGUCGUGGUUCAGCCUCAGCUGGCAACUGAACACCACGCAGCCGCUCGCUCACUCCCCCCCCACCCCUGUGGGAUGGGGAAGAGAAUCGGACAAGCAAAAGAACUUGUGGGUUGAGAUAAGCACAGUUUAAUGAUUACAAUAAAAUGAUAAUGAUAAAUGAUUAUGAUAAUAAUGACAAUAAUGUUAAUAUAAUAAAAAGGGAAAAGGAAGGGAAAGGGAAAACAGGAGAAAAAAAACACGGAAACACAAAUGAUACAACUGCUCACCACCCGCCGACCGACGCUGCCCGUCCCCGAGCCGCGAUUGCUUCCCCCCUCCCCCGGCCAGCCCCUCCCAGGUAACACACUGGGCAUGACGUUACAUGAUAUGGAAUAUCCCUUUGGUCAGUUUGAAUCCGCUCUCUUAGCUGUGCC